rnacentral:rRNA from 1 species
GAUGAACGCUGGCGGCGUGCCUAAUACAUGCAAGUCGAGCGAACAGACGAGGAGCUUGCUCCCCUGACGUUAGCGGCGGACGGGUGAGUAACACGUGGAUAACCUACUUAUAAGACUGGGAUAACUUCGGGAAACAGGAGCUAAUACUGGAUAAUAUAUUGAACCGCAUGGUUCAAUAGUGAAAGACGGUUUUGCCGUCACUUAUAGCUGGAUCCGCGCCGCAUUAGCUAGUUGGUAAGGUAACGGCUUACCAAGGAAACGAUCCGUAGCCGACCUGAGAGGGUGAUCGGCCACACUGGAACUGAGACACGGUCCAGACUCCUACGGGAGGCAGCAGUAGGGAAUCUUGCGCAAUGGGCGAAAGCCUGACGGAGCAACGCCGCGUGAGUGAUGAAGGUCUUCGGAUCGUAAAACUCUGUUAUUAGGAAAGAACAAAUGUGGAAUUAACUAUGCACGUCUUGACGGUACCUAAACAGAAAGCCACGGCUAACUACGUG